rnacentral:rRNA from 1 species
AUUGAACGCUGGCGGCAUGCCUUACACAUGCAAGUCGAACGGUAACGCGGGGCAACCUGGCGACGAGUGGCGAACGGGUGAGUAACGCAUCGGAACGUGCCCAGUAGUGGGGGAUAGCCCGGCGAAAGCCGGAUUAAUACCGCAUACGACCUACGGGUGAAAGAGGGGGAUCGCAAGACCUCUCGCUAUUGGAGCGGCCGAUGUCAGAUUAGGUAGUUGGUGGGGUAAAGGCCUACCAAGCCUACGAUCUGUAGCUGGUCUGAGAGGACGACCAGCCAAACCGGGACUGAGACACGGCCCAGACUCCUACGGGAGGCAGCAGUGGGGAAUUUUGGACAAUGGGCGCAAGCCCGAUCCAGCCAUGCCGCGUGCGGGAAGAAGGCCUUCGGGUUGUAAACCGCUUUUGUCAGGGAAGAAACGCUCUGGACUAAUACUCUGGGGUAAUGACGGUACCUGAAGAAUAAGCACCGGCUAACUACGUGCCAGCCGCCGCAGUAAUAC